rnacentral:sRNA from 22 species
GCGUUCUUCAAGCGAGCUUGGGAUAUUGGGAGCCAAGUAGGGCAAAAUAAUGAGCUGGCGCUUUCUGUAAAGUAUUAUCAAACAAUGAAAAGAAAUAAAUUAGGGUGGCCGCGUAUUUCAGACG